rnacentral:rRNA from 1 species
GACGAACGCUGGCGGCGCGCUUAACACAUGCAAGUCGAGCGAGAACCGGGGCUUCGGCUCCGGGGACAGCGGCGAACGGGUGAGUAACACGUGGGUAACCUGCCCUCGGCACCGGGAUAGCCCGGGGAAACCCGGAUUAAUACCGGACGGUCUCCGGAGCCUGCGGGCGCCGGAGAAAAGGUAGCUUCGGCCUCCGGCCGAGGAGGGGCCUGCGGCGGAUUAGCUUGUUGGCGGGGUAACGGCCCACCAAGGCGA